rnacentral:tRNA from 1 species
UCGACUUUAGCUCAGUUGGUAGAGCAGAGGACUGUAGUGGGAUACAAAAUCUUGAUUGUUAUUCUUAGGUAGCUGGUUCGAAUCCGACAAGUUGGA